CAUCAGUAGGGAUCCUUUCUAUGACAUGUUGGCAACAAGGAAAAGGAGGAUUGCCAAUAAGAAAUAAGAGCUUCCCUGGCCCAGCAGUACCAUGAUCUCAGACCUGAGCUUCCCUGGUGAGGAGGAGAACAAGCCCUGACUGAAGGUGUGUGGCACUUAGGGCUUUCUGUGAACAGCGAAGAGCCUCAGAUCUAAACUAGGAUGGG